CACACUCCAAGCGAAGCUUGAUGUUGGGCGAAGCGGUACCCACCGCCCGCCUGGAACGCGUGGGCGCCCGCUGCCGGACCGCGAACGUAGCAAGACAACUCGUCAAGUCGUUCUGCGUAGUUGGUAGGGUCUGCCUUGAACGUCUUCUGACAUAUCAA
rnacentral:misc_RNA from 1 species